CACUUAUAUUCUAUGGUAGGGCCAGAAUACCAUACUUAUAUCCUAUGGUUGGAUCGAAAUGCUAUACUUAUAUCUUAUGGUGGGGCCAGAAUACUACACUUGUAUCCUAUGAGUAGGUUAAAAAUAAAAUUAUGAGCUUACUAAUAGUUAGAGUAUCAAUGCAUAAUCUCUAAUUGGAAGGAUGCAAAACAUAGUCAGGUUGAG
rnacentral:lncRNA from 1 species